UACGUAGGGUGCGAGCGUUGUCCGGAAUUAUUGGGCGUAAAGAGCUUGUAGGCGGUCUGUCGCGUCUGCUGUGAAAAUCCGGGGCUCAACCCCGGACUUGCAGUGGGUACGGGCAGACUAGAGUGUAGUAGGGGAGACUGGAAUUCCUGGUGUAGCGGUGAAAUGCGUAGAUAUCUGGAGGAACACCGGUGGCGAAGGCGGCAUCCUGGACCGACACUGACGCUGAGGAGCGAAAGCCAGGGGAGCAAACGGG
rnacentral:rRNA from 1 species